ensembl:lncRNA XIST X inactive specific transcript
AUCUGAAUAAGGCCUUACUCUCAGACCCCUUUUGCAGUACAGCAGGGGUGCUGAUAACCAAGGCCCAUUUUCCUGGCCUGUUAUGUGUGUGAUUAUAUUUGUCCAGGUUUCUGUGUACUAGACAAGGAAGCCUCCUCUGCCCCAUCCCAUCUACGCAUAAUCUUUCUUUUCCUCCCAGCAGGGAGUGCUCACUCCAUAAGACCCUUACAUUUGGACAAUCAAGGUGCACAAUUGUAAGUGACCACAACCAUGCAUCUUGGAAAUUUAUGUGCAUAACUGCACAUGGCUUAUCCUAUUUGAAUAAAGUCCUACUCUCAGACCCCCUUUGCAGUAUAGCUGGGGUGCUGAUCACUGAGGCCUCUUUGCUUGGCUUGUCUAUAUUCUUGUGUACUAGAUAAGGGCACCUUCUCAUGGACUCCCUUUGCUUUUCAACAAGGAGUACCCACUACUUUUUAAGAUUCUUAUAUUUGUCCAAAGUACAUGGUUUUAAUUGACCACAACAAUGUCCCUUGGACAUUAAUGUAUGUAAUCACCACAUGGUUCAUCCUAAUUAAACAAAGUUCUACCUUCUCACCCUCCAUUUGCAGUAUACCAGGGUUGCUGACCCCCUAAGUCCCCUUUUCUUGGCUUGUUGACAUGCAUAAUUGCAUUUAUGUUGGUUCUUGUGCCCUAGACAAGGAUGCCCCACCUCUUUUCAAUAGUGGGUGCCCACUCCUUAUGAUCUUUACAUUUGAACAGUUAAUGUGAAUAAUUGCAGUUGUCCACAACCCUAUCACUUCUAGGACCAUUAUACCUCUUUUGCAUUACUGUGGGGUAUACUGUUUCCCUCCAAGGCCCCUUCUGGUGGACUAUCAACAUAUAAUUGAAAUUUUCUUUUGUCUUUGUCAGUAGAUUAAGGUCAUACCCCAUCACCUUUCCUUUGUAGUACAACAGGGUGUCCUGAUCAACCAAAGUCCUGUUGUUUUGGACUGUUAAUAUGUGCAAUUACAUUUGCUCCUGAUCUGUGCACUAGAUAAGGAUCCUACCUACUUUCUUAGUGUUUUUAGCAGGUAGUGCCCACUACUCAAGACUGUCACUUGGAAUGUUCAUGUGCACAAACUCAAUUCUCUAAGCAUGUUCCUGUACCACCUUUGCUUUAGAGCAGGGGGAUGAUAUUCACUAAGUGCCCCUUCUUUUGGACUUAAUAUGCAUUAAUGCAAUUGUCCACCUCUUCUUUUAGACUAAGAGUUGAUCUCCACAUAUUCCCCUUGCAUCAGGGGCAUGUUAAUUAUGAAUGAACCCUUUUCUUUUAAUAUUAAUGUCAUAAUUGUAUUUGUGGACCUGUGUAGGAGAAAAAGACCCUAUGUUCCUCCCAUUACCCUUUGGAUUGCUGCUGAGAAGUGUUAACUACUCAUAAUCUCAGCUCUUGGACAAUUAAUAGCAUUAAUAACAAUUAUCAAGGGCACUGAUCAUUAGAUAAGACUCCUGCUUCCUCGUUGCUUACAUCGGGGGUACUGACCCACUAAGGCCCCUUGUACUGUUAAUGUGAAUAUUUGCAAUUAUAUAUGUCUCCUUCUGGUAGAGUGGGAUAUUAUGCCCUAGUAUCCCCUUUGCAUUACUGCAGGGGCUGCUGACUACUCAAAACUUCUCCUGGGACUGUUAAUAGGCACAAUGGCAGUUAUCAAUGGUUUUCUCCCUCCCUGACCUUGUUAAGCAAGCGCCCCACCCCACCCUUAGUUUCCCAUGGCAUAAUAAAGUAUAAGCAUUGGAGUAUUCCAUGCACUUGUCUAUCAAACAGUGGUCCAUACUCCCAACCCUUUUGCAUUGCGCCAGUGUGUAAAAUCACAGGUAGCCAUGGUGUCAUGCUUUAUAUACGAAGUCUUCCCUCUCUCUGCCCCUUGUGUGCCCUUGGCCCCUUUUUACAGACUAUUGCUCACAAUCUCAGGUGUCCAUAUUUGCAGCUAUUAGGUAAGAUUGUGCUGUCUCCCUCUUCCCUUCCCUCUGCCCUGCCCCUUUUGCCUCUUUGCUGGGUAAUGUUGACCAGACAAGGCCCUUUCUCUUGGACUUAAACAAUUCUCAGUUGCACUUUCCUUGGUCCCACCCAUUAUACAUGAACCCCUCUACUUCCUUUCGCAUUGCUUCUGAGUAUGCUGACUACCCAAAGCCCCUUCUGUGUUAUUAAUAAACACAGUACUGAUUGUCCCAUUUUUCAGCCCAUCAGUCCAAGAUCUCCCUACCACUUUGGUGUGUUGGUGCAGUGUUGACUAUGAAAAGCAGGCCUGAACUAGGUGGAUAAGCCUUCACUCAUUUUCUUUCAUUUAUUAAUGAUCCUAGUUUCAAUUAUUGUCAGAUUCUGGGGACAAGAACCAUUCUUGCCCACCUGUGUUACUGCUUUACUGUGCAAAAUACUGAAGGCAAGUCAGACCCAGGGAGCUGGAUUGCCAUCCUUUAUUUUGUGUUUCCAGUGUACACUAUAAAAUUGUCUCCCCAGGAAGGAAGGUUGGCACUUUCUCUGCAUUCUUCUUUCCAGAGCAGAUUGCCUGGUUAAGAAUCUCUUGUUGUCCCCUUUGUAUAUUGUUAUUGUAAAGUGCCAAAUGCCAGGAUACAGCCAGAAAAAUUGCUUAUUAUUAUUAAAAAAAUUUUUUUAAGAAAGACAUCUGGAUUGUAGGGUGGACUCGAUAACCUGGUCAUUAUUUUUUUGAAGCCAAAAUAUCCAUUUAUACUAUGUACCUGGUGACCAGUGUCUCUCAUUUUAACUGAGGGUGGUGGGUCUGUGGAUAGAACACUGACUCUUGCUAUUUUAAUAUCAAAGAUAUUCUAGAGUGGAACUCUUAAGACCAGUAUCUUUGUGUGGGCUUUACCAGCAUUCACUUUUAGAAAAACUACCUAAAUUUUAUAAUCCUUUAAUUUCUUCAUCUGGAGCACCUGCCCCUACUUAUUUCAAGAAGAUUGCAGUAAAACGAUUAAAUGAGGGAACAUAUGCAGAGGUGCUUUUAAAAAGCAUAUGCCACCUUUUUUAUUAAUUAUUAUAUAAAAUGAAGCAUUUAAUUAUAGUAAUAAUUUGAAGUAGUUUGAAGUACCACACUGAGGUGAGGACUUAAAAAUGAUAAGACGAGUUCCCUAUUUUAUAAGAAAAAUAAGCCAAAAUUAAAUAUUCUUUUGGAUAUAAAUUUCAACAGUGAGAUAGCUGCCUAGUGGAAAUGAAUAAUAUCCCAGCCACUAGUGUACAGGGUGUUUUGUGGCACAGGAUUAUGUAAUAUGGAACUGCUCAAGCAAAUAACUAGUCAUCACAACAGCAGUUCUUUGUAAUAACUGAAAAAGAAUAUUGUUUCUCGGAGAAGGAUGUCAAAAGAUCGGCCCAGCUCAGGGAGCAGUUUGCCCUACUAGCUCCUCGGACAGCUGUAAAGAAGAGUCUCUGGCUCUUUAGAAUACUGAUCCCAUUGAAGAUACCACGCUGCAUGUGUCCUUAGUAGUCAUGUCUCCUUAGGCUCCUCUUGGACAUUCUGAGCAUGUGAGACCUGAGGACUGCAAACAGCUAUAAGAGGCUCCAAAUUAAUCAUAUCUUUCCCUUUGAGAAUCUGGCCAAGCUCCAGCUAAUCUACUUGGAUGGGUUGCCAGCUAUCUGGAGAAAAAGAUCUUCCUCAGAAGAAUAGGCUUGUUGUUUUACAGUGUUAGUGAUCCAUUCCCUUUGACGAUCCCUAGGUGGAGAUGGGGCAUGAGGAUCCUCCAGGGGAAAAGCUCACUACCACUGGGCAACAACCCUAGGUCAGGAGGUUCUGUCAAGAUACUUUCCUGGUCCCAGAUAGGAAGAUAAAGUCUCAAAAACAACCACCACACGUCAAGCUCUUCAUUGUUCCUAUCUGCCAAAUCAUUAUACUUCCUACAAGCAGUGCAGAGAGCUGAGUCUUCAGCAGGUCCAAGAAAUUUGAACACACUGAAGGAAGUCAGCCUUCCCACCUGAAGAUCAACAUGCCUGGCACUCUAGCACUUGAGGAUAGCUGAAUGAAUGUGUCUUACCCAUUUCCAUGUUUCUCUUGCUAAUUUCUUUCGUGUGUGCCUUUGCCUCAUUUUCUCUUUUUGUUCACAAGAGUGGUCUGUGUCUUGUCUUAGACAUAUCUCUCAUUUUUCAUUUUGUUGCUAUUUCUCUUUGCUCUCCUAGAUGUGGCUCUUCUUUCACGCUUUAUUUCAUGUCUCCUUUUUGGGUCACAUGCUGUGUGCUUUUUGUCCUUUUCUUGUUCUGUCUACCUCUCCUUUCUCUGCCUACCUCUCUUUUCUCUUUGUGAACUGUGAUUAUUUGUUACCCCUUCCCCUUCUCGUUCGUUUUAAAUUUCACCUUUUUUCUGAGUCUGGCCUCCUUUCUGCUGUUUCUACUUUUUAUCUCACAUUUCUCAUUUCUGCAUUUCCUUUCUGCCUCUCUUGGGCUAUUCUCUCUCUCCUCCCCUGCGU